CGCUUGCGGGGGUGGAUGAGUGGCGAACGGGUGAGUAAUACUUGAGUAACCUGCCCUGGACUCUGGGAUAAGCCUGGGAAACUGGGUCUAAUACUGGAUACUACCUGUCACCGCAUGGUGGUGGGUGGAAAGGGUUUCUGGUCUUGGAUGGGCUCACGGCCUAUCAGCUGGUUGGUGGGGUAAUGGCUCACCAAGGCGACGACGGGUAGCCGGCCUGAGAGGGUGACCGGCCACACUGGGACUGAGACACGGCCCAGACUCCUACGGGAGGCAGCAGUGGGGAAUAUUGCACAAUGGGCGGAAGCCUGAUGCAGCGACGCCGCGUGAGGGAUGACGGCCUUCGGGUUGUAAACCUCUUUCAGUAGGGAAGAAGCGCAAGUGACGGUACCUGCAGAAGAAGCGCCGGCUAACUACGUGCCAGCAGCCGCGGUAAUACGUAGGGCGCAAGCGUUGUCCGGAAUUAUUGGGCGUAAAGAGCUCGUAGGCGGUUUGUCGCGUCUGCUGUGAAAGCCCGGGGCUCAACUCCGGGUCUGCAGUGGGUACGGGCAGACUAGAGUGCAGUAGGGGAGACUGGAAUUCCUGGUGUAGCGGUGAAAUGCGCAGAUAUCAGGAGGAACACCGAUGGCGAAGGCAGGUCUCUGGGCUGUUACUGACGCUGAGGAGCG
rnacentral:rRNA from 1 species